CAGUAGCCGCGGGAAUACAGAGGGUGCGAGCGUUAAUCGGAUUUACUGGGCGUAAAGCGUGCGUAGGCGGCUUUUUAAGUCGGAUGUGAAAGCCCUGGGCUCAACCUGGGAACUGCAUCCAAAACUGGUGAGCUAGAGUACGGUAGAGGGUAGUGGAAUUUCCUGUGUAGCGGUGAAAUGCGUAGAUAUAGGAAGGAACACCAGUGGCGAAGGCGACUACCUGGACUGAUACUGACACUGAGGUGCGAAAGCGUGGGGAGCAAACAGGAUUAGAUACCCCCGUAGUCCCUGUCUCUUAUAC
rnacentral:rRNA from 1 species